CACGUAGGGCGCAAGCGUUGUCCGGAAUUAUUGGGCGUAAAGAGCUCGUAGGCGGCUCGUUGCGUCAACCGUGAAAACCCGGGGCUUAACUUCGGGCUUGCGGUUGAUACGGGCGGGCUGGAGUUCGGUAGGGGAGAUCGGAAUUCCUGGUGUAGCGGUGAAAUGCGCAGAUAUCAGGAGGAACACCGGUGGCGAAGGCGGAUCUCUGGGCCGAUACUGACGCUGAGGAGCGAAAGCGUGGGGAGCGAACAGG
rnacentral:rRNA from 1 species